GAUGAACGCUGGCGGCGUGCUUAACACAUGCAAGUCGAACGGAAAGGCCCAAGCUUGCUUGGGUACUCGAGUGGCGAACGGGUGAGUAACACGUGGGUGAUCUGCCCUGCACUUCGGGAUAAGCCUGGGAAACUGGGUCUAAUACCGGAUAGGACGAUGGUUUGGAUGCCAUUGUGGAAAGUUUUUUCGGUGUGGGAUGAGCUCGCGGCCUAUCAGCUUGUUGGUGGGGUAAUGGCCUACCAAGGCGUCGACGGGUAGCCGGCCUGAGAGGGUGUACGGCCACAUUGGGACUGAGAUACGGCCCAGACUCCUACGGGAGGCAGCAGGGGGGAAGAUUGCACAAUGGGCGCAAGCCUGAUGCAGCGACGCCGCGUGGGGGAUGACGGCCUUCGGGUUGUAAACUCCUUUCGCUAGGGACGAAGCGUUUUGUGACGGUACCUGGAGAAGAAGCACCGGCUAACUACGUG
rnacentral:rRNA from 1 species